rnacentral:misc_RNA from 1 species
GAUGAAGAACGUAGCGAAAUGCGAUAAGUAAUGUGAAUUGCAGAAUUCAGUGAAUCAUCGAAUCUUUGAACGCACAUUGCGCCCGCCAGCAUUCUGGCGGGCAUGCCUGUUCGAGCGUCAUUUCAACCCUCAAGCUCUGCUUGGUGUUGGGGCCCUACGGUUGACGUAGGCCCUUAAAGGUAGUGGCGGACCCUCUCGGAGCCUCCUUUGCGUAGUAACUAACGUCUCGCAUUGGGAUUCGGAGGGACUCUUGCCGUAAAACCCCCAAAUUUUCUAAUGGUUGACCUCGGAUCAGGUAGGAAUACCCGCUGAACUUACGCAUAUCAAUAAGCGGAGGA